UAAGCUGAAGUUUAUUUUCUUCAGUUUUUCAUAGACCCACCUGCUUGUGGUGAUUAGGUACAGAUUGGUAUUCUUUUUGCUUUGGUGAAAUUGAGAGCUGAGACAAAACUGAGCAUCGGAAUCUGAAGCUAGCGGGUUUAAUGUAAGUUCCAAUAAAUAAUUUUAGACAAUAGAUUUUAUUUUAAUUGAGUGAUUACUGAAUAAAUAGUUAUAUAAAAUGGUAUUGUAUUUUUUAUUCGCAUUGUGUUAUUCAAAUUGUGGCUAGUAUGUCAUAACAAACAUUAAGCAAGUUUGUAUGAAGUUUGAAAAAACAAACUUCAUGCAACAAAACAAAAACAAACCUUCAGCAAGUUUAUUAUAUCAAGUUUGUAUCAAGUUU
rnacentral:lncRNA from 1 species